rnacentral:rRNA from 1 species
GAUGAACGCUAGCUGCAGGCUUAACACAUGCAAGUCGCGGGGCAGCAUGGGGGUUGCUUGCAAUCCCCGAUGGCGACCGGCGCACGGGUGAGUAACGCGUAUCCAACCUGCCCUUCACCACGGGAUAACCCGGCGAAAGUCGGACUAAUACCGUAUGUUGUCCAUUGACGGCAUCCGAUUUGGACGAAAGGUUUGGCGGUGAAGGAUGGGGAUGCGUCCGAUUAGCUGGACGGCGGGGUGACGGCCCACCGUGGCGACGAUCGGUAGGGGUUCUGAGAGGAAGGUCCCCCACACUGGAACUGAGACACGGUCCAGACUCCUACGGGAGGCAGCAGUGAGGAAUAUUGGUCAAUGGGCGUAAGCCUGAACCAGCCAAGUAGCGUGCAGGAUGACGGCCCUAUGGGUUGUAAACUGCUUUUAUGCGGGGAUAAAGUGGCCCACGUGUGGGUUUUUGCAGGUACCGCAUGAAUAAGGACCGGCUAAUUCCGUG